rnacentral:rRNA from 1 species
UACGUAGGGUGCAAGCGUUGUCCGGAAUUAUUGGGCGUAAAGGGCGCGUAGGCGGGCUCGCCAGUCAGGGGUGAAAGCCUCCAGCUUAACUGGAGAAGUGCCUUUGAUACUGCGAGUCUCGAGGGAGGUAGGGGCGUGCGGAACUUCCGGUGGAGCGGUGAAAUGCGUAGGUAUCGGAAGGAACACCGGUGGCGAAAGCGGCGCGCUGGACCUCUUCUGACGCUGAGGCGCGAAAGCCAGGGGAGCAAACGGG